AGCAGCCGCGGUAAUUCCAGCUCCAAUAGCGUAUAUUAAAGUUGCUGCAGUUAAAAAGCUCGUAGUUGAAUUUCGGGAUCGAUAUAUCGGUCGUGCCUCGGUACGUACUGGUAUUUUCGGUUUCUCCCUUCUGACGAACCUUGAUGUCAUUAAUUUGGUGUCUUGGGGAAUCAGGACUGUUACUUUGAAAAAAUUAGAGUGUUUAAAGCAGGCUCACGCUUGAAUACAUUAGCAUGGAAUAAUGAAAUAGGACGUUUGAUUCUAUUUUGUUGGUUUCUAGGACCGACGUAAUGAUUAAUAGGGAUAGUUGGGGGCAUUAGUAUUCAAUUGUCAGAGGUGAAAUUCUUGGAUUUAUUGAAGACUAACUACUGCGAAAGCAUUUGCCAGGAUGUUUUCAUUAAUCAAGAACGAAAGUUAGGGAUCGAAGACGAUCAGAUACCGUCGUAGUCUUAACCAUAAACUAUGCCGACUAGGGAUCGGGAUGAUGUUAAUUUUUAUGACUNAUUCGGCNCUUACGGGA
rnacentral:rRNA from 1 species